GUCGAUGCUAUGGUCACGAAUUACUUGUCGAGCUCUGAUCAUUCUCUUCUCUGGAUAUCUAAAUUGAAGAGGAAAUUUUCACUGGAGUACUAGAUUUUGGUACAUUCUUGACUCUCUCGUAGACAAACAGCUUGCAAUGCAGUUAUUUUGAGCUUUACAUAUUCCUGUGAAUUUCGUUUGAAAAGGCACCUAGUUCUUUCUUUUAACCCUCCAUUGAUCCAGGUAUCAAGCAUCAAUUAACUACUCCAUGUUCAAUUUAGUCUUACUAACAUUUAAAAUUUUAGCUAAUUUCUGAAAGUUCUAAAUCUUAGUCAGGUUGGCCAUCCAUUGAAGAGGGGAAAAUUUUACGACUUUUGAGUAACAAAACAGUAUUUUUUUUAGUCAGGAAUGGGUAGGUUCUGCUUUCCAAGAUGCAGACUUUCAAGAAUAAUGGGUUCAUUUCAGGUUCUGUUAGGUGGGCUUGUUAUAUUUCUAAGUAUAACCAGUCUCUCUAGAUUCUACUUUGCCGGGUUCUUCCUCCAUGAUGAAGACAUUUGCCAUCAUUUUUAUCAUGUAAAAGAUGUUUAUGUUGGGUUUGAUGCAAAAGCUUUAUCUGACCGGGUUGAUGAAGUUCUGUCUAAGAUGGCUAGUUUGCAGGACAAGUUAGAGAUCACUGUACAAAAUCUGGAGAGCACCUCGGAUAAAAUGAACAUUUCCAAAGCAGAGUAUGGGAAGUUUUUAGAGGAGGAGGUAAUCCACCCUCUAUACAGUGCUCAUAUAUCCCUUAGACAGAUUCGACUACCUGGAGUUGAUGGGGUUAGGAACAGUACAAUGAGGGAAGACCCCUUGAUUAACUAUUUCAUGACUGAGGAGGUUCGGAAGUAUGUAACACCAAAAAGUAACAGAAUAGGGAAGCUCAAUAUUUAUGGUACAGAGAGGAUUUAUAACACAAUAGGGCAUGCUUGUGUCUUGAUGAAGAAUGAACUAGAAGAGUACAUGAACUACGAUGUUGGAUCCUACUGCAAAGAUGAUUGGAACCUAGCUCAGAAGCUCAUGAUUAAAGGUUGUGACCCUUUGCCCAGGAGGCGGUGCUUGACAAGAGCCUCGAAACUCUAUCAGAAGCCCUUCCCAAUCAAUGAGUCCCUCUGGAAGUUACCGGACAAUGGAAAUGUUCGGUGGAGCAAUUAUCAGUGCAGGAACUUUGGCUGCUUAUCAAGCAAAAAUUCCAGGCGGGGUUUUAGCAAGUGCACUGGAUGUUUCGAAAUGGAGAAGGAAAUGGUUAAAUGGGUCAGUAAUGGUUCACUUCCAAUAGAUUUUCUGAUAAGUGAUGUUUUAGCAGUCAAACCUGGGGAGAUAAGAAUAGGUCUGGACUUUGGCAUUGGCACGGGAACUUUUGCUGCGAGGAUGAGAGAACAAAAUGUGACAAUUAUAACAACUGCUCUGAACCUUGGGGCACCAUUCAAUGAGAUGAUUGCUCUAAGAGGCCUGGUUCCUUUGUAUGUUGCAUUGAACCAACGGCUUCCUUUCUUCGACAACACAAUGGACUUGAUUCAUACAACUGGGUUGUUGGAUGGAUGGAUUGAUCUUCAAUUGAUGGAUUUCAUCUUAUUUGAUUGGGAUCGCAUUUUAAGGCCAGGGGGGUUGUUGUGGAUAGAUCGGUUCUUUUGCAGCAGAAGGGACCUGGAUGACUACAUGUUCAUGUUUUUGCAGUUCAGGUAUAGAAAACACAAGUGGGUUAUUUCACCUAAAUCAAAGGAAGAGGUUUAUCUUUCUGCAUUGCUGGAGAAACUACCUCGGGCUAUAUGAUUCUACUCCUUGCUUGUUUAUGUCCCUUCAUCUCACUCAUGAGGAACUCAUCAUCUUUGUCGUCAAUAUCGUGUGCAGUGAGUGGUGAGCUGCAA